rnacentral:rRNA from 1 species
CCUACGGGUGGCAGCAGUGGGGAAUAUUGCACAAUGGGGGAAACCCUGAUGCAGCGACGCCGCGUGAGUGAAGAAGUACUUCGGUAUGUAAAGCUCUAUCAGCAGGGAAGAAAAUGACGUUAUCUGAGUAAGAAGCCCCGGCUAACUACGUGCAAGCAGCCGCGGUAAUACGUAGGGGGCAAGCGUUAUCCGGAUUUACUGGGUGUAAAGGGAGCGUAGACGGCAGUGCAAGUCUGGAGGGAAAGGCGGGGGCUCAACCCCCGGACUGCUUUGGAAACUGUACGGCUGGAGUGCAGGAGAGGUAAGUGGAAUUCCUAGUGUAGCGGUGAAAUGCGUAGAUAUUAGGAGGAACACCAGUGGCGAAGGCGGCUUACUGGACUGUAACUGACGUUGAGGCUCGAAAGCGUGGGGAGCAAACAGGAUUAGAUACCCUGGUAGUC